rnacentral:rRNA from 1 species
GACGAGGGGUCCUAGCGUUGUUCGGAAUUACUGGGCGUAAAGCGCAUGUAGGCGGCUUAUCAAGUCAGAUGUGAAAGCCUCGGGCUCAACCUGAGAAGUGCAUUUGAUACUGUUAAGCUUGAAUAUGGGAGAGGGUAGUAGAAUUCCUGGUGUAGUGGUGAAAUACGUAGAUAUCAGGAGGAAUACCGGUGGCGAAGGCGGCUACCUGGCCCAAUAUUGACGCUGAGAUGCGAAAGCGUGGGGAUCAAACAGG